AUUGAACGCUGGCGGCACGCCUUACACAUGCAAGUCGAACGGCAGCACGGGGCAACCUGGUGGCGAGUGGCGAACGGGUGAGUAAUGCAUCGGAACGUACCUUUCAGUGGGGGAUAACGUAGCGAAAGUUACGCUAAUACCGCAUAUUCUGUGAGCAGGAAAGCAGGGGAUCGCAAGACCUUGCGCUGAUUGAGCGGCCGAUGUCAGAUUAGCUAGUUGGUGAGGUAAAGGCUCACCAAGGCGACGAUCUGUAGCGGGUCUGAGAGGAUGAUCCGCCACACUGGAAUUGCGUCCCGUUCCAGGCUCCUACGGGAGGCAGCAGUGGGGAAUUUUGGACAAUGGGAGCAACCCUGACCCAGCCAUGCCGCGUGAGUGAAGAAGGCCUUCGGGUUGUAAAGCUCUUUCGGCCGGAAAGAAAUCGCACGGGCUAAUACCCUGUGUGGAUGACGGUACCGGAAUAAGAAGCACCGGCUAACUACGUGCCAGCCGCCGCCGUAA
rnacentral:rRNA from 1 species